AGGUUCCUUCGGGGUAGGGUGAUCUGCCGGGUGGCGGAAAAUCCCGAUCGGUGGUAAAGCUCUUUGUUUGCGUGUCAUACGCGGACAAAGAAGCGAGUCCACGAUCCCGCCCUUUGUUCGCAAAGAGCGGGAACGACUGCGGUUAGAUUCCGCGACCGACCGUAUAGUCGGGAUAAAAGAAGGGGUGG
rnacentral:ncRNA from 2 species